rnacentral:rRNA from 1 species
CCUGGUUGAUCCUGCCAGUAGUCAUAUGCUUGUCUCAAAGAUUAAGCCAUGCAUGUCUCAGUACAAGCCAAAUUAAGGUGAAACCGCGAAAGGCUCAUUAAAUCAGUUAUGGUUCCUUAGAUCGUACCACUUUUACUUGGAUAACUGUGGUAAUUCUAGAGCUAAUACAUGCAAACAGAGCUCCGACCUCAACAGGGAGGAGCGCUUUUAUUAGAUCAAAACCAAUCGGUGGCGGAUUCGCUCGUCAUCGUGAAAUUAGGUGACUCUGAAUAACUUUGUGCUGAUCGCACGGUCUCGCACCGGCGACGCAUCUUUCAAAUGUCUGCCUUAUCAACUGUCGAUGGUAGGUUCUGCGCCUACCAUGGUUGUAACGGGUAACGGAGAAUCAGGGUUCGAUUCCGGCGAGGGAGCCUGAGAAACGGCUACCACAUCCAAGGAAGGCAGCAGGCGCGCAAAUUACCCACUCCCGGCACGGGGAGGUAGUGACGAAAAAUAACGAUACGGGACUCAUCCGAGGCCCCGCAAUCGGAAUGAGUACACUCUAAACCCUUUAUCAGAACGAGGAGGUAGUGACGAAAAAUAACAAUACGGGACUCAUCCGAGGCCCCGUAAUCGGAAUGAGAACACUCUAAACCCUUUAACGAGGAUCAAUUGGAGGGCAAGUCUGGUGCCAGCAGACGCGGUAAUUCCAGCUCCAAUAGCGUAUAUUAAAGUAGUUGCGGUUAAAAAGCUCGUAGUCGAAUGUGUAUCCCUCACCGCCGGUUCAUCGUACGCGGUGUUAACUGGCGUGUCGCGGGACGUCCUGCCGGUAGGCUUAGCUCGUAAGGGCGGUCUAACUCAAUCCCGCCGCGGUGCUCUUAAUUGAGUGUCGAGGUGGGCCGGCACGUUUACUUUGAACAAAUUAGAGUGCUUAAAGCAGGCUAAAACUUCGCCUGAAUACUGUGUGCAUGGAAUAAUAGAAUGACCUCGGUUCUAUUUUGUUGGUUUUCGGACGGAAUAAUAGAAUAGGACCUCGGUUCUAUUUUGUUGGUUUUCGGAACCCCGAGGUAAUGAUUAAUAGGAACGGAUGGGGGCAUUCGUAUUGCGACGUUAGAGGUGAAAUUCUUGGAUCGUCGCAAGACGAACAGAAGCGAAAGCAUUUGCCAAAAACGCUUUCAUUGAUCAAGAACGAAAGUUAGAGGUUCGAAGGCGAUCAGAUACCGCCCUAGUUCUAACCAUAAACGAUGCCAGCUAGCGAUCCGCCGACGUUCCUCCGAUGACUCGGCGGGCAGCUCCCGGGAAACCAAAGCUUUUGGGUUCCGGGGGAAGUAUGGUUGCAAAGCUGAAACUUAAAGGAAUUGACGGAAGGGCACCACCAGGAGUGGAGCCUGCGGCUUAAUUUGACUCAACACGGGAAACCUCACCAGGCCCGGACACCGGAAGGAUUGACAGAUUGAGAGCUCUUUCUUGAUUCGGUGGGUGGUGGUGCAUGGCCGUUCUUAGUUGGUGGAGCGAUUUGUCUGGUUAAUUCCGAUAACGAACGAGACUCUAGCCUGCUAACUAGGCGUAUUUCGACAUCCCAAAGGCCCGCCGGAGAAACAUCCCAAAGGCCCGCCGGUGGGGCUUCGGCCUUUAUCGCGCGCGGUUUUUACUGUCGGCGUACAAACAAUUCUUCUUAGAGGGACAGGCGGCUUCUAGCCGCACGAGAUUGAGCAAUAACAGGUCUGUGAUGCCCU